UACGGAGGGUGCAAGCGUUAUCCGGAUUCACUGGGCUUAAAGGGUGCGUAGGUGGAUUAGUAAGUCAGUGGUGAAAUCUCCGGGCUUAACCCGGAAACUGCCAUUGAUACUAUUAGUCUUGAAUACCGUGGAGGUCAGCGGAAUAUGUCAUGUAGCGGUGAAAUGCUUAGAUAUGACAUAGAACACCAAUUGCGAAGGCAGCUGGCUACACGAGCAUUGACACUCAGGCACGAAAGCGUGGGGAUCAAACAGG
rnacentral:rRNA from 1 species